GCCAGCUAGCUCAGUCGGUGAAACGCGCGGGACUCUUAAUCAGGGUACGUGGGUUUAAGACCCACGUUGGGCG
rnacentral:tRNA from 1 species